CCAGGUGUGAGAAAAAUCAAGCUGUGCUCAGAGAUGUGAUUUUCUUACAUAUGCCUGAUUGCUAUUUUUUUGCUCUUUGACAAUCUUCUCCUAAUAGAACUGGGAGAUUCCAAGGUUCCUGACUUGGCUGGAGGAAGUCUCUGCAACUUCAGAAGGAGAGGCAAGGUAUCUCCAGCAGAAUGAAUGUCAGAGGCAGAGGAUACUGAGCAUCUAUCAGCACCUUUCUGCUUCUGACCACUUCAGGUUUCGAAAGUACACAUGUGAAGAUCUGAAUUUGUAAAUGGUAUAUCUUAAUGUGCCAUGCAGAACAGAAGCUCAGAAGAUGGCAAGCGUUGCCUUAAUUCAAACUCAGUGCACAUUUUGUGAAACCUGCCCUGGAGUGAUAAUGCAGACCACGUGUGGGAGACCAGCAAGCCAGAGGCCAGCCACAGGAGAAGCACACUGGAGAUUCUCCGGAACUUGUCCUGGGAGCCCCUAUCCUUUUAUCCCUCUUUCAUGGAUUAUGUACAAUAAUCCCAACAACUUCCUGAGAUUCUGAGCUCAGGUCAGGGAUUCAUUUUCAUCUCCCAGUCAAACUGCACAUCUCAAUCAGAGGCAAACAACUUUACUUUUAAUGCUACAAAAACAAUUUCUAUAGUCUUUAUUUCUAGGGUUUGAAGAGAAGGGAAAUGGAUCUAAAUUCUCAACGGUUUUCCACUGGCAAUGGUUUGAGUCAAAUGUAUGAAAGAUGAUAUAUCAUGAGCUUUGUAAUGUUUUGAACAACCAAUAAAAAAAUAUGAAAAAAAAGAAAGUGAUUUUAAGCAUUAGAACAUGUGGGUCUUUUUUAUCAAGAAAAAAAUGUGCAUUUAUAAAACAACUUCAUAACUCUAAUAAAAAUGUUUUUAAGUUGAAAAAAAUAAAAUGAGGCAGCUGAUUUUUUCCACUAAAUUUCAUAUCUCUUUUAAGUAUGUAAUACCCACAUGGUUCAAAUAUCAGAAGUACAAAAUUUCUAUAGGAACUCUU
rnacentral:lncRNA from 1 species